ensembl:snRNA U6 U6 spliceosomal RNA
GUACUUGCUUUGGCAGCACAUAUACUAAUUAGAACAAUACAGAGAAGAUUGGCAUGGUCACUGCCCAUCAAGGAUGACGUGAAAAUUCUUGAAGCUUUCCAUAUUUUA